CUCAGAGGGGACUCUGAGAGUGGGAGCACUGCAGAAGCUGUCCUGAGAUCAGGUGCCUGCUCCCCGACCACAGCUUGCUGUCUGCUCUCCAGAGCAGCUGAGAAAGCCCCACCCCUGGGCUGGGCCUGCAGGGGGCUGGGAGUAGGUAGGAGUCUUAAGCUUCCCUUGCCCAGGUCAGGCCUCUCAAAAGCUGCAAAUUCUUGGGACCCAUGGCCCCGACCACUUGUUGCUGUCCUCCUAGGUGUGGGGGGGGCCUGACCCUGAAGCAUACUCGCUAGGAAUCCUUUGGUUAAUGACUCACUCGCCUGUAGCCAAGCUAGAAUUUUCCUUUUCCCACCCCUCCGGCCCCAAGAAAUCCAGCUGAGCCACCUGGAGUGAGCCUGAGUCCUGUCCCUGAAGGCCAAGGACUGUCCACAACUUAAAGGUUGGAUUUGGUGGAAAGAAACUGUGAGGCGACACUUUCCACCUCUGCUGCCUUUCGCCAUGGCAGGACAGACCCCAGAAAGCAGAGGUCUUCCAGAAAAGCCGGACCCUGCCUCGACCGCUGCCACUCUGUCCUCCAUGGGUGCUGUCUUCAUCCUCUUAAAGUCUGCGCUGGGAGCUGGCCUGCUCAACUUUCCCUGGGCCUUCUCCAAAGCUGGUGGAGUGGUCCCUGCCUUGCUGGUGGAGCUGGUGUCCUUGGUCUUCCUGGUCAGUGGGCUGGUCAUCCUGGGCUAUGCUGCUGCUGUCAGUGGCCAGGCCACCUACCAGGGUGUGGUUAGGGGACUGUGUGGCCCCGCCAUUGGGAAGCUGUGUGAGGCCUGCUUCCUCGUCAACCUGCUCAUGAUCUCUGUGGCCUUCCUCAGGGUGAUCGGGGACCAGCUGGAGAAGCUGUGUGACUCCCUCCUGUCUGGCACACCUCCCACUCCACGGCCCUGGUACGCAGACCAGCGCUUUACCCUGCCCCUGCUCUCCACGCUGGUCAUCCUGCCCCUGUCCACCCCACGGGAGAUCGCCUUCCAGAAAUACACAAGCAUCCUAGGUACGCUGGCCGCCUGUUACCUGGCCCUCGUCAUCACAGUGCAGUACUACCUCUGGCCCCAGGGCCUCAUGCGUGAGCCCGGUCCUUCACUGAGCCCUGCCUCCUGGACCUCUGUGUUCAGCGUCUUCCCCACCAUCUGCUUCGGGUUUCAGUGUCACGAAGCCGCGGUCUCCAUCUACUGUAGCAUGCGUAAGCGGAGCCUCUCGCACUGGGCCCUGGUCUCCCUGCUGUCCUUGCUGGGCUGCUGCCUCAUCUAUUCACUGACCGGGGUUUAUGGCUUCCUGACCUUUAGGACAGAAGUUUCUGCUGAUGUCUUGAUGUCCUACCCAGGCAACAACACAGUCAUAAUUGUGGCCCGGGUUCUUUUUGCUGUCUCCAUCGUAACUGUCUACCCCAUCGUGCUUUUCCUGGGCAGGUCGGUGAUGCAGGACUUCUGGAAGAGGAGCUGCUGGGGGGCGCGGGGGCCCAGGGCCCUGACUGACCCCUCGGGGCUGUGGGUCCGGAUGCCGCUGACCAUCCUCUGGGUCACCGUGACACUCUCCAUGGCGCUGUUUAUACCCGACCUCAGCGAGAUCGUUAGCAUCAUCGGAGGCGUCAGUUCCUUCUUUAUCUUCAUCUUCCCAGGUUUGUGCCUCAUCUGCGCAAUGGGCGUCGAGCCUGUGGGACCGAGAGUCAAAUGAGGAGGCAGGCCAGGAGGACAGCGCUAUGAUAUAACCCAGGCCCCUGGCUCCCAGGCGCUGUGCUACCCACUUGUGUUGCAUACCAUGCUCUUGAGAUGAGAGAAUUUGGAUCUUUAUUUGACAAGUUAUCCCUGUGGACCAGACACGACUGAGGAGCCUCUGUACUUUGCCACUGAGCUGCUGAGUCUGACUCACUGAAAAAGACAAUGUGUGCGUGACUGAUACACCCUUUCUCUGACGGCCCUGGGGAGCCUGAGGGUCUCUGUGACUCCCUCCCAUUCCACAGAUGUGGAAACUGAGGCUGAGGCAGGUGCUGCCUGGAGGUCUGGGGAGUGGUCUCUGUGCUGGUCGGCACCUUCAUCUUCGGACAGAGCACAGUGGCAGCGGUCUGGGAGAUGAUUUGAUGGAUGCUGGAGGGACUGAUGCCUUCUGCCUCCUUGGGCUGCUCAUUGGGCUGUGCUGGUUCGAAGGGUUUCUUGUACCAAGGUUAGGCAACUGAGGCUUGGAAAAAUCGAGGCCACUUGUCCUGCAAGGUACGGAGAUCAGAUCAGAAGUGAUUUGAUGUUAAAUUCCUUUUCUUCCCACUCUACACGCCAUGGUGAGGAGGCGCCAGAGUUGGGGGGCAGAUGGCAGGGGCAGGGUGUGGGAGUAGGUGCCUGGCCCUGGGGCUCCUGCAGCCUGGCUGCUGGGGGAUGGUGAAGUGAGGCUGCGGGUGUAGACUCUAACCCUGUGGGGGUGUUGGGAGGGUACCCAGGACCCUCCUUCCAUCUCUGACCAAGCCCAGCAUGACCUGCCACACGCUGUGUUCCAAGGCCACAGCAUCUUCCCAGGCAAGGGCCUUGGGAAUUGUGACACGUGCAGGCAGAUCGAACUAUUUAUUUUUAUUUCUUGGUAGAGUCUCGGAGUCUCACUCUGUUGACCAGGUUGGAGUGUAGUAGCACGAUCUUGGCUCACGGCAACCUUACUGUCCAGGUUCAAGCGAUUCUUCUGCCUCAGCUUGGGAUUACAGGCAUCCGCCAUGCCCGGCUAAUUUUUGUAUGUUUAGUAGAGACGGGGUUUCACCAUGUUAGCGAGGCUGGUCUCAGACUCCAGACCUGAGGUGAUCCAUUUGCCUCGAACUUUCAAAGUGCUGGGAUUACAGGUGUGAGCCACCAUGCCAGGCCUGGUUUUUUUUUUUGUUUUUUUUUUUUUUUGAGAGAGGUAUCACUGUGUCACUCAGGCUCAGUGCAGUGGCACUAUCACUGCUCACUGCAGCCUCCAACUCCUGGGCUCAAGCAGUCCUUCCACUUUAGUCUCCCAAGUAGCUAGGACCACAGGUGUGCACCACCAUGCCCGGCUAAUUUUUGUAAUUCGUUGUAGAGUCAGGG